AGUGAACGCUGGCGGUAGGCCUAACACAUGCAAGUCGAACGGCAGCACAGGAGAGCUUGCUCUCUGGGUGGCGAGUGGCGGACGGGUGAGGAAUACAUCGGAAUCUACUCUGUCGUGGGGGAUAACGUAGGGAAACUUACGCUAAUACCGCAUACGACCUACGGGUGAAAGCAGGGGACCUUCGGGCCUUGCGCGAUUGAAUGAGCCGAUGUCGGAUUAGCUAGUUGGCGGGGUAAAGGCCCACCAAGGCGACGAUCCGUAGCUGGUCUGAGAGGAUGAUCAGCCACACUGGAACUGAGAGACGGUCCAGAGUCCUACGGGAGGCAGCAGUGGGGAAUAUUGGACAAUGGGCGCAAGCCUGAUCCAGCCAUACCGCGUGGGUGAAGAAGGCCUUCGGGUUGUAAAGCCCUUUUGUUGGGAAAGAAAUCCAGCUGGCUAAUACCCGGUUGGGAUGACGGUACCCAAAGAAUAAGCACCGGCUAACUUCUUGCCAGCCGCCGCAGUAA
rnacentral:rRNA from 1 species